rnacentral:sRNA from 1 species
GCCCUGGGCGGGGGCGAGCGCGUCCGGUUUGCUGGAAGCGUUCGGAAAUGGCAACUUGCGCGGUGGAGGUGUUCGGGCUCCUGGAGGACGAGGUAGGCCCUGCUAGUUGCAGAUUUCUCAUCUCACCGCCUUCCAGCAGAGCCAGUUGAUCUUAAAGAAAAUAGUGCCAAAG